rnacentral:misc_RNA from 1 species
GUGGAUGGUCGAUGCCCA